rnacentral:lncRNA from 1 species
CCACUGCAGCGACAUCCUCAAUAACCUCCUCAAAAUCAAUUUCGAGUAUGACAAUAUCUUCCAUGAAAGCAUCAUCAUGAUCAACAAAGACCUCGUCCCCUUCGUUGUCCGAAAACAUGCUACCUAAUGACAUGCAUAGAAUAGUAUGACUUUCCUCUGAUCUCAAGCCCAAACAAGGGACUAAAACUUACUCUAGUUCAUUAGACAUGUUGAAACUUGAAAUAGAG